UCUUUCGGCCCUGGCACGUUCAACGGGCAAGAUCCGCCACUGGUGCUGAGAUUGGAGAACUGAGGCACAAUAGGUGGUCUCUUUGUUUGGUUUUAUGCAUUGGCUAGAAACUGGACAUCUUUUAAUACACACCGAAGUGGAAGAAAAAUUAGGGUGAGACAGAGUCGUGACUUUGUGGAUUAGUUAAAGAAGAAGAAGCAUGGUUUGUUGUAUAUGGAAAUUGAUGGAGGGAUUGCCAGCUAUAUCAUGUAUCAUCAACACUAAACCUGCUGGUAUCAUCAUCAAUUAAUUUUCUUUUUCAGUCGCUUAUGUUAUGUUUAUGAAUCCUUUUUUACUGUAACAAUUUGAAAAAGGAUCGUCAUCAAUUAACUUUUGAGACACCAGGUAAUCAAAUUUUUGCACAAAAUUUCAAUCUUUUGAAUGUAACAAAUUGAAAAAGGAUUUGAUACGUUUGUUAG